rnacentral:rRNA from 1 species
GGCGUAGGUGGCUGAUUAAGUCGGGUGUGAAAUCCCAGGGCUCAACCCUGGAACUGCAUUCGAUACUGGUUGGCUAGAGUUCGGGAGGGGGAUGCGGAAUUCCGAGUGUAGCAGUGAAAUGCGUAGAGAUUCGGAGGAACACCUGAGGCGAAGGCGGCAUCCUGGACCGAUACUGACACUGAGGCCCGAAAGCGUGGGGAGCAAACA